CGGCGGACGGGUGAGUAACACGUGGAUAACCUACCUAUAAGACUGGGAUAACUUCGGGAAACCGGAGCUAAUACCGGAUAAUAUAUUGAACCGCAUGGUUCAAUAGUGAAAGACGGUUUUGCUGUCACUUAUAGAUGGAUCCGCGCCGCAUUAGCUAGUUGGUAAGGUAACGGCUUACCAAGGCAACGAUGCGUAGCCGACCUGAGAGGGUGAUCGGCACACUGGAACUGAGACACGGUCCAG
rnacentral:rRNA from 1 species